rnacentral:rRNA from 1 species
ACUCAGUUUAAAAGAUUCGUCGAAUACGGAUUGGCUCGCGUGGCAUUAGCUAGUCGGCGGGGUAACGGCCCACCGAGGCAACGAUGCCUAGGGGUUCUGAGAGGAAGACCCCCCACAUUGGGACUGAGACACGGCCCAAACUCCUACGGGAGGCAGCAGUGAGGAAUAUUGGUCAAUGGACGGAAGUCUGAACCAGCCAUGCCGCGUGAAGGAUGACUGCCCUAUGGGUUGUAAACUUCUUUUGUGACAGAGCAAUAAGGUGUACGUGUACACCGAUGAGAGUAUGCCACGAAUAAGCAUCGGCUAACUCCGUGCCAGCAGCCGCGGUAAUACGGAGGAUGCAAGCGUUAUCCGGAUUUAUUGGGUUUAAAGGGUGCGUAGGCUGUGUAUCAAGUCAGUGGUGAAAGACCGGGGCCCAACCUCGGAAGUGCCAUUGAUACUGAUAUGCUGGAGUACCCCUGCCGUGGGAGGAAUGAGUGGUGUAGCGGUGAAAUGCAUAGAUAUCACUCAGAACACCGAUUGCGAAGGCAUCUCACGAAAGGGCAACUGACGCUGAGGCACGAAAGCGUGGGGAUCAAAC